rnacentral:rRNA from 1 species
GAUGAACGCUGGCGGCGUGCCUAACACAUGCAAGUCGAGCGGCAGCGAGGGGUGCUUGCACCCUGUCGGCGAGCGGCGGACGGCUGAGUAACGCGUGGGAACGUGCCCCAAAGUGAGGAAUAACUGCCCGAAAGGGUAGCUAAUACCGCAUAUUAUCUUCGGAUCAAAGGAUUUAUCCGCUUUGGGAGCGGCUCGCGUCGGAUUAGGUAGUUGGUGAGGUAAUGGCUCACCAAGCCGACGAUCCGUAGCUGGUCUGAGAGGAUGACCAGCCAGACUGGAACUGGGACACGGUCCAGACUCCUACGGGAGGCAGCAGUGAGGAAUCUUCCACAAUGGGCGAAAGCCUGAUGGAGCUACGCCGCGUGCAGGACGAAGGCCUUCGAGUUGUAAACUGCUUUUAUAAGUGAGGAAUAUGACGGUAACUUAUGAAUAGGGAUCGGCUAACUACGUG